rnacentral:lncRNA from 1 species
UAUCAAUCGAUAAUUGUUUACUGCAAAAUUUCUCAAUCUUCUAAUGCAUUGACGGAUUGUGAUAUACUUAGAAAGGAAGUAAACUAUUAAAUAUGAUGAUCGCGAUCUAUCAGUUGGCACUUUUCAACCUUCUGACUUAUCGAAAAACUGUGAUAUAUUUAAAAAUGCAGUUAAAUUAUUAACGUGAUCGCGAUCUACCAGUUGGAAAUGUGGAUUUGAAUUUCUAAAAAUCACCAUUCAAUUUAUGCAGUUAAUUUUCCACUAUUCCUGAAUUAUUAUAAAUUCCUGUAGGUAAUUUCCGACUAUUCCUGGAUCACUGUAUAAUAUUGAUAACUAAUUUCCUACUAUUCCUAGAUUAUUGUAUCAUUUCAGUAACUAAUUUCCAUCUAUUCCUGGAUCAUUAUAUACACUUUCAGUAACUAAUUUAUGAAUCUUCCUCGAUUGUGAUAUAAUUUUCUGAUGCACCUAGAAGGAAAUUAUCAACUAGGAAAGCUAGUAACAGCUUUAAUAAAGAAAGGAAAACCUUAUUUAAAGAAUUCUAGUAUAUUUCACGUUAAAAUUUGGAUAUUUUACAUUAGAAUGGUUUAGAAAAAUGUCGGUUUACUGAUCAGAAAUUUCUGAAAAAUAUAAUUUAGACCUCUCCAUAAAUUAUUUUCUCUUACUUCUAUUUAGAUUCUUCGUAAAAUUCUCUCUACAAUUCGUUAGAAAAGCCUAUAUUUCAUGAGCACGUGUCAGGAUUAUAAAUAAGAAAUAUCCAAAAUUCGCCAGAUAUUCUACCUAAUGAUACCGUA